rnacentral:rRNA from 1 species
UACGUAGGGUGCAAGCGUUAAUCGGAAUUACUGGGCGUAAAGCGUGCGCAGGCGGCUUUGCAAGACAGAUGUGAAAUCCCCGGGCUUAACCUGGGAACUGCAUUUGUGACUGCAUGGCUGGAGUGCGGCAGAGGGGGAUGGAAUUCCGCGUGUAGCAGUGAAAUGCGUAGUUAUGCGGAGGAACACCGAUGGCGAAGGCAAUUCCCUGGGCCUGCACUGACGCUCAUGCACGAAAGCGUGGGGAGCAAACAGG